GCUGAAUUCGGGCCAGCUGCGGCGGGAAUACGGUGGAUCCAAGGGUUGUCCGUGGUUACUAGGGGGAAAGGGGGCGCAGGCGGACUGGUGAGGCUGGGGUGAAAUCUCGCCGCUUAACGGCGAAACUGCCUUAGAUACUAUCAGUCUUGGAUAAGCGAGAGGUUCGUGGAAGUCCGAGUGUAGCAGUGAAAUGUGUAGAUAGUCGGAAGAACACCAGUGGCGAAGGCAGCGAACUGGCGCUUUAUCGACGCUCAUGCACGAAAGCAUGGGGAUCAAACAGGAUUAGAUACCCCAGUAGUC
rnacentral:rRNA from 1 species